GUACACGCUGUGACUAGCAUAUCAAUAAGCGGAGGAAAAGAAACUAACAAGGAUUCCCCUAGUAACGGCGAGUGAAGCGGGAAGAGCUCAAAUUUGAAAUCUUAAAGGGUUUCCCUUUACGAAUUGCAGUUUAAAGAAGUGUUUUCUGUUGAGGUUUUGGUAAAAGUUCUUUGGAAUAGGACAUCAUAGAGGGUGAGAAUCCCGUAUUUGACCUUUACUUUCAACUUUGUGAUACACUUUCAAAGAGUCGGAUUGUUUGGGAAUGCAGUCCUAAAUGGGUGGUAAAUUUCAUCUAAAGCUAAAUAUUGGCGAGAGACCGAUAGCGAACAAGUACCGUGAGGGAAAGAUGAAAAGAACUUUGAAAAGAGAGUUAAACAGUACGUGAAAUUGUCAAAAGGGAAGCGUUUGACACCAGUGUUGUUUUUCUGAAAAUCAAUUAAAGAACUGUUUAUGCUAAGUUGUUUAGACUUUAUCAGCUAACUGUUUAGUUUUGAGCUUUUCUUUAAUGCACUUUUCAGUUAACAAGUCAACAUCAAUUUCUUUUGCUGUAAAAAAGCUUGAGGAAGGUGGCUUGAGAUUCGUCUUAAGUGUUUAUAGCCUCUUGCCUAUGCAGUCGGAGAGAUUGAGGUCUGCAGCGUAGAUCCUUCGGGGCUAAAUGCAUUUGUGCUAAGUUAUAGCAUUUUAUAGACAACUUGUUGACUAUGACUUGUCUUGUAGCUUACUCGCUUAUGUUAUUUUACCUACGCUUAGGAUGUUGACGCGCGUGUGUGCGUG
rnacentral:rRNA from 1 species